rnacentral:rRNA from 1 species
UACGUAGGGGGCUAGCGUUGUCCGGAAUCAUUGGGCGUAAAGAGCGUGUAGGCGGCCCGGUAAGUCCGCUGUGAAAGUCGGGGGCUCAACCCUCGAAUGCCGGUGGAAACUGUCGGGCUCGAGUGCGGAAGAGGCGAGUGGAAUUCCUGGUGUAGCGGUGAAAUGCGCAGAUAUCAGGAGGAACACCGAUUGCGAAGGCAGCUCGCUGGGACGUGACUGACGCUGAGACGCGAAAGCGUGGGGAGCAAACAGG